UACGUAGGGCGCAAGCGUUGUCCGGAAUUAUUGGGCGUAAAGCGCACCGAGGUGGCUUCUUAAGUUGGAUGUAAAAUCUCCCGGCUUAACUGGGAGGCGCCAUUCAAUACUGAGGAGCUUGAGGUCAGCAGGGGAAAGUGGAAUUCCCGGUGUAGUGGUGGAAUGCGUAGAGAUCGGGAGGAACACCAGUGGCGAAAGCGACUUUCUGGGCUGCACCUGACACUCUAGUGCGAAAGCGUGGGGAGCAAACAGG
rnacentral:rRNA from 1 species